UGAAGCCGAAGAGAAUUGAACUCUUAACCUGUGUAAGAGAUUAGGGGCAUCCACGCGUGCUAGGUUGCAAACUUGCUCACCUUCUGGACUUCCUAAAGCAGAAUUUCUUAUCUACAUGAAUGAGAACAUGCUCAAGUCAUUGAAAUACGCUUAUCUGGAAUCAGACGCGCUACCAUUGCGCCACGGCUCC
rnacentral:tRNA from 1 species